GAGAUGAAGUCUCACUCUUGUCACCCAGGCUGGAGUGCAGUGGUGUGAUCUUGGCUUACUGUAACCUCUGCCUCCCAGGCUCAAGCAAUUCUCCUGCCUGAGCCUCCCAAAUGGGUAGCUGGGAUUACAGGCAUGUGUCACCACACCUGGCUAAUUUUGUACUUUUACUCAAGGUUUGUGAGUGCACCAAUCGACACUCUGUAUCUAGCUGCUCUGGUGAGGACGUGGAGAACCUUUAUGUCUAGCUCAGGGACUGUAAACACACCAAUCGGCACUCUGUAUCUAGCUCAAGGUUUGUAAACACACCAAUCAGCACCCUGUGUUUAGCUCAAGGUUUGUGAGUGCACCAAUCGACACUCUGUAUCUAGCUGCUCUGGUGAGGACGUGGAGAACCUUUAUGUCUAGCUCAAGGAUUGUAAAUACACCAAUCGGCACCCUGUGUUUAGCUCAAGGUUUGUGAGUACACCAAUCAACACUCUGUAUCUAGCUGCUCUGGUGGGGCCUUGGAGAACCUGUGUGUCCAAACUCUGUAUCUAACUAAUCUGAUGGGGACGUGGAGAACCUUUGUAUCUAGCUCAGGGAUUGUAAACGCGCCAAUCAGCGCCCUGACAAAACAGGCCACUCGGCUCUACCAAUCAGCAGGAUGUGGGUGGGGCCAGAUAAGAGAAUAAAAGCAGGUUGCCAGCAUUAGCAACCCGCUCGGGUCCCCUUCCACACUGUGGAAGCUUUGUUCUUUUGCUCUUUGCAAUAAAUCUUGCUACUGCUCACUCUUUGGGUCCACGCUGCUUUUAUGAGCUGUAACACUCACCACGAAGAUCUGCAGCUUCACUCCUGAGCCCAGCGAGACCACGAGCCCACCAGAAGGAAGAAACUCCGAACACAUCUGAACAUCAGAAGGGACAGACUCUAGACGCGCCACCUUAAGAGCUGUAACACUCACCGCGAGGGUCCGCGGCUUCAUUCUUGAAGUCAGUGACACCAAGAACCCACCAAUUCCGGACACAAUACCCCCUCCUUGGGUGCCUGCUAAGGGCAGGUGUCUGAGCAUGAGAUGACACACCACAGUGGACAAGGGACACACUGGUAACAUGUGGCACUGUAUCCCAAGGAUGAUGCCCUGCAUGUGACAACGUAUAUAAUAACGACUGCUUCUGCUUUAAUAACAAAUAUCAAAUACAGUGUGACAACUCCUUGGGUGCUUCUGAAUACAUGUUAUAAUUUAUUUCUAGAGUGGAUCCUUUCCUAUCAUUUUUGGAGAGAAUUUACUCAAGGUCUAAAACUUUCAUGUGAUCACAAUGUCUUGAAGAUUAUGUAAAAGUAAACAAUUAUUUUAAUCAACUAAAAAUAUUUAUUUGGGCCAGGCACGGUGGCUCACGCCUAUAAUCCCAGCACUUUGGGAGGCUGAGGUGGGUGGAUCACCAGAGGUCAGGAGUUCGAGACCAGCCUGACCAACAUGGAGAAACCCCAUCUCUACUAAAAAUAUAAAAAUUAGCCAGGCGUGGUGGUACAUGCCUAUAAUCCCAGCUACUCAGGAGGCUGAGGCAGGACAAUCACUUGAACCCAGGAGGCGGAGGUUGUAGUGGGCCGAGAUUGUACCAUUGCACUCCAGCCUAGGCAAUAAGAGUGAAACUCGGUCCCUAAAGAAAUAAAUGUGUGUGCGUGCGUGUGUGUGUGUGUGUGUGUGUGUGUGUGUGUGUAUAUGUAUGUAUGUAUUAGAAGCCUCCCAUAGACUAAGCACCCACACAAAUAACUAAUGGUGUGGGAUGUCCAAGAGCAAACCCAGUCCCUGCUCUGCCCUGACAAAUGCAGGCCCUUCCCAGAUUAGAUCUGCUUAGGAUGCAAAAUGGUAGAGAGCCCGAGAUCUGGCAACACAGGAGAUCCUCAGAGCCCUGACAAACAGCCCCAGAAAGCCAAACAAAGGAGCUGAGCAUCACACCGACAGUAAGUCAAUUGCCUUUACUGCCUUAACUUGGGAGCUUAUUAAAAGAAUUUUUUGAAGACUUUAUGUCUUAUAAGACCAACCUCCACAUUGCUAGACUAUUUCUCAAAGUGAGUGGUACUGCAUUCAAAAUUUAGAGUUCUACUUUUCCACUAUUUUAUUUUU
rnacentral:lncRNA from 1 species